AGAGAGAGAGAGAGAGAGAGAGACGUAAAAGAGUGUGUGUGUGUGUGGGGGUGGAAGAAGGGAUGCUACGGGUGUCGGAGGACGGAGGGCGGCGGAGGGAGGGCUACGUGGAGAUCUACCGCCAGCUCGGUCGAACCCUCCUCGAUCUCCAAGACGCCGCCGAUCGAGUUUUCGACGUCAUCUCUCUGCGAACUUCUCAAGAGCAAGAUAAACUGUCCGAAAUCUCCCGGAGAAUCCAAGUAGCCAAGGCUAAGAUUGAUUCUCUAUCUCGUUCAGAGCAAGCACUCACUGUUAUAUCACCAGCACGGUAUCCGUCAACAUGCAUCGUCGAAGAAAAUUUUCCACCACUGUUCCAAUACAGUAAUGAAGGAAAUGAACCAGGCUUUCCAGUGGCAAAGUUGUUAGUUGAUGGAGGAUUGAACAGAGAAUAUGGAAGAGAUUGUACACUUGAACUAUUUCAAUUCUUUUCUGAAGAGAACAUCAGCUAUCCCUCGAUGGAAAGUGAUUUGAAGGGAGGAGUUAAGCUUACUGAACCAAAUAAUAAUAUAUCUUUGCAGAAGAUUUUUGAAGCAACAAGAUUUCUUUCGACGGAUAAAAGUACCUCAACAUCUGAGUCUGAAUCUAAGAGUGAAGAGUUGCCACCUCCUCCUCCAAGUUUGCUUCUGAAAAAUUCCGAUUGGUAAUUGGCUCUGAUACCAACUGUGACGGCCUACUUCCUAUGGGGUCACUCAUCCUAAAACUACUGUAGUCCUGGCACGCUUAACUCUCUUAAUCCCUUGAGCCUAGCCGCCGCCCAAAAUGCUAUAGUCGGGUUAAGAGUUUUAGCCCUAUUAUAUCUUAUAUAUAGGACUAUUUGGGGUCUCACACAACGACAAAGUGCAAAGCUGUCUCUAUUUUGAAGCAUUUUGGUUGAGGGAAAUGAAAGACGGAGAAAAAGGAACACAAAUGCUGGAACUGCUGAUAAAGCAAAGCUUGUUGUAAUUAGGCCACAAAACUGUCUAUGAAAG